rnacentral:miRNA from 8 species
AUCAGUUCCUGAUGCACUCCC